CCUACGGGAGGCAGCAGUGAGGAAUAUUGGUCAAUGGGCGUAAGCCUGAACCAGCCAAGUCGCGUGAGGGAUGAAGGUUCUAUGGAUGGUAAACCUCUUUUAUAAGGGAAUAAAGUGUGGGACGUGUCCUGUUUUGUAUGUACCUUAUGAAUAAGGAUGGGCUAACUCCGUGCCAGCAGCCGCGGUAAUCCGGAGGAUCCGAGCGUUAUCCGGGUUUAUUGGGUUUAAAGGGUGCGUAGGCGGCCUGUUAAGUCAGCGGUGAAAGUCUGUGGCUCAACCAUAGAAUUGCCGUUGAAACUGGGAGGCUUGAGUAUGUUUGAGGCAGGCGGAAUGCGUGGUGUAGCGGUGAAAUGCUUAGAUAUCACGCAGAACCCCGAUUGCGAAGGCAGCCUGCCAAGCCAUGACUGACGCUGAUGCACGAAAGCGUGGGGAUCAAACAGGAUUAGAUACCCCAGUAGUC
rnacentral:rRNA from 1 species